CCAUCGAUGGACUGUCGGUCGA
rnacentral:miRNA from 1 species